rnacentral:lncRNA from 1 species
AUUUGGUAGAAAACCUAUCAUUCAUUAACUUGAAAUAAAGAGAACCUUGUACACAAGACCCUUCAAUGAAUCGAUGACUAUUCACAAUAUAACUAACUGCUACUCACUAACAUGCAUGCAACAAUCCCUUAGAAAGUUGCAUUUGACCGACCCUAAAUAGAACAUAAUGGAGGAGACCAACUAAUCUCUCCAUCUGAAUAGAGACCACUUCUAACAACGUUAUUGGGACUCU